UACGUAGGGGGCUAGCGUUGACCGGAUUUAUUGGGCGUAAAGAGCGUGUAGGCGGCCAGGUAGGUCUGCUGUGAAAACUCGAGGCUCAACCUCGAGAUGUCGGCGGAAACCAUCUGGCUAGAGUCCGGAAGAGGAGAGUGGAAUUCCUGGUGUAGCGGUGAAAUGCGCAGAUAUCAGGAAGAACACCCGUGGCGAAGGCGGCUCUCUGGGACGGUACUGACGCUGAGACGCGAAAGCGUGGGGAGCGAACAGG
rnacentral:rRNA from 1 species